UGAGGAAUAUUGGUCAAUGGGCGCGAGCCUGAACCAGCCAAGUAGCGUGAAGGAUGACUGCCCUACGGGUUGUAAACUUCUUUUAUAAAGGAAUAAAGUGAGGCACGUGUGCCUUUUUGUAUGUACUUUAUGAAUAAGGAUCGGCUAACUCCGUGCCAGCAGCCGCGGUAAUACGGAGGAUCCGAGCGUUAUCCGGAUUUAUUGGGUUUAAAGGGAGCGUAGAUGGAUGUUUAAGUCAGUUGUGAAAGUUUGCGGCUCAACCGUAAAAUUGCAGUUGAUACUGGAUAUCUUGAGUGCAGUUGAGGCAGGCGGAAUUCGUGGUGUAGCGGUGAAAUGCUUAGAUAUCACGAAGAACUCCGAUUGCGAAGGCAGCUUACUAAACUGCCACUGACAUUGAUGCUCGAAAGUGUGGGUAUCAAACAGG
rnacentral:rRNA from 1 species